rnacentral:siRNA from 1 species
UUAGCCCAUGAUUAUACUCAUCGU